rnacentral:rRNA from 1 species
ACUCGCUGUGAAGAUGCAGUGUACCCGCGGCAAGACGGAAAGACCCCGUGAACCUUUACUAUAGCUUGACACUGAACAUUGAGCCUUGAUGUGUAGGAUAGGUGGGAGGCUUUGAAGCGUGGACGCCAGUCUGCGUGGAGCCGGCCUUGAAAUACCACCCUUUAAUGUUUGAUGUUCUAACGUGGACCCGUGAUCCGGGUUGCGGACAGUGUCUGGUGGGUAGUUUGACUGGGGCGGUCUCCUCCUAAAGAGUAACGGAGGAGCACGAAGGUUGGCUAAUCCUGGUCGGACAUCAGGAGGUUAGUGCAAUGGCAUAAGCCAGCUUGACUGCGAGCGUGACGGCGCGAGCAGGUGCGAAAGCAGGUCAUAGUGAUCCGGUGGUUCUGAAUGGAAGGGCCAUCGCUCAACGGAUAAAAGGUACUCCGGGGAUAACAGGCUGAUACCGCCCAAGAGUUCAUAUCGACGGCGGUGUUUGGCACCUCGAUGUCGGCUCAUCACAUCCUGGGGCUGAAGUAGGUCCCAAGGGUAUGGCUGUUCGCCAUUUAAAGUGGUACGCGAGCUGGGUUUAGAACGUCGUGAGACAGUUCGGUCCCUAUCUGCCGUGGGCGCUGGAGAACUGAGGGGGGCUGCUCCUAGUACGAGAGGACCGGAGUGGACGCAUCACUGGUGUUCGGGUUGUCAUGCCAAUGGCACUGCCCGGUAGCUAAAUGCGGAAGAGAUAAGUGCUGAAAGCAUCUAAGCACGAAACUUGCCCCGAGAUGAGUUCUCCCUGAGACUUUAAGUCUCCUGAAGGAACGUUGAAGACGACGACGUUGAUAGGCCGGGUGUGUAAGCGCAGCGAUGCGUUGAGCUAACCGGUACUAAUGAACCGUGAGGCUUAACCUUACAACGCCGAAG